GCCUGAAGGUAAUGAUUCUACUCACCAGAAUAAAUACAAUAAGCUGUAGUUGUUCUGGUGACUAUAUUGCGGUCUUACCACUGUUUGAUACAAUGGCAUAAUCACUUCUUUCUUUCUAUUGCUAUACAACCAAGCAUUCUGCUAGCAUUUCCUGCUGCUCUAUUAUAAUGUCUGCCGACCUUUAAGUCAUCUGAAAUAAUUACCCAUAAAUCCCUUUCAUCAGAUGUUGAGGUUAGAACAUUCCAUUGUAAUUAAUGUCCAGUAGCGCAAUGUUAAAAAUACAAUGUUUUAGCAUAUAAGCAACAAAAUGGGUUACAUACCAUUUCCCAAAAAUAUAAAUGUACCACCGUUACCAAAGAGAGCCCCCGAACACUUUGGCCUGAGACCCCUGCCUCUGGCUGUUACAUUGUAUCGGGGUAUUCUUUUACUACGUUGGUACUGGUGGUCUCUCCUCUCUGUUAUACUUUGUAGAAGUGGUAUGUAAUCAAUUUUUUGCUUAUAUGCUAAAACCCUUUUUUUGUAACAUUGUUCUACUGGACAUUAAUUACAAUAGAAUGGCAUAACUAGCUAUUUUGUAUCCGUUUUGACAUACAUAUAUCAGAUAUUUGAGACGUGUACUAAUCUUGUGUCUUGGGGUUUUAUGUUUUUGUG